AGUGAACGCUGGCGGUAGGCCUAGCACAUGCAAGUCGAACGGCAGCACAGUAAGAGCUUGCUCUUACGGGUGGCGAGUGGCGGACGGGUGAGGAAUACAUCGGAAUCUACUUUUUCGUGGGGGAUAACGUAGGGAAACUUACGCUAAUACCGCAUACGACCUACGGGUGAAAGCAGGGGAUCUUCGGACCUUGCGCGAUUGAAUGAGCCGAUGUCGGAUUAGCUAGUUGGCGGGGUAAAGGCCCACCAAGGCGACGAUCCGUAGCUGGUCUGAGAGGAUGAUCAGCCACACUGGAACUGAGACACGGUCCAGACUCCUACGGGAGGCAGCAGUGGGGAAUAUUGGACAAUGGGCGCAAGCCUGAUCCAGCCAUACCGCGUUGGUGAAGAAGGCCUUCGGGUUGUAAAGCCCUUUUGUUGGGAAAGAAAAGCUGCAGGUUAAUGCCCAGCUGUUCUGACGGUACCCAAAGAAUAAGCACCGGCUAACUUCGUG
rnacentral:rRNA from 1 species